GAUAGCUGGUUCUCCCCGAAAGCUAUUUAGGUAGCGCCUCGUGAAUUCAUCUCCGGGGGUAGAGCACUGUUUCGGCUAGGGGGCCAUCCCGGCUUACCAACCCGAUGCAAACUGCGAAUACCGGAGAAUGUUAUCACGGGAGACACACGGCGGGUGCUAACGUCCGUCGUGAAGAGGGAAACAACCCAGACCGCCAGCUAAGGUCCCAAAGUCAUGGUUAAGUGGGAAACGAUGUGGGAAGGCCCAGACAGCCAGGAUGUUGGCUUAGAAGCAGCCAUCAUUUAAAGAAAGCGUAAUAGCUCACUGGUCGAGUCGGCCUGCGCGGAAGAUGUAACGGGGCUAAACCAUGCACCGAAGCUGCGGCAGCGACGCUGAUGCGUUGUUGGGUAGGGGAGCGUUCUGUAAGCUUG
rnacentral:rRNA from 1 species